GGGUGAGUAACACGUGGGUAACCUGCCCAUCAGAAGGGGAUAACACUUGGAAACAGGUGCUAAUACCGUAUAACACUAUUUUCCGCAUGGAAGAAAGUUGAAAGGCGCUUUUGCGUCACUGAUGGAUGGACCCGCGGUGCAUUAGCUAGUUGGUGAGGUAACGGCUCACCAAGGCRACGAUGCAUAGCCGACCUGAGAGGGUGAUCGGCCACACUGGGACUGAGACACGGCCCAGACUCCUACGGGAGGCAGCAGUAGGGAAUCUUCGGCAAUGGACGAAAGUCUGACCGAGCAACGCCGCGUGAGUGAAGAAGGUUUUCGGAUCGUAAAACUCUGUUGUUAGAGAAGAACAAGGAUGAGAGUAAAAUGUUCAUCCCUUGACGGUAUCUAACCAGAAAGCCACGGCUAACUACGUGCCAGCAGCCGCGGUAAUACGUAGGUGGCAAGCGUUGUCCGGAUUUAUUGGGCGUAAAGCGAGCGCAGGCGGUUUCUUAAGUCUGAUGUGAAAGCCCCCGGCUCAACCGGGGAGGGUCAUUGGAAACUGGGAGACUUGAGUGCAGAAGAGGAGAGUGGAAUUCCAUGUGUAGCGGUGAAAUGCGUAGAUAUAUGGAGGAACACCAGUGGCGAAGGCGGCUCUCUGGUCUGUAACUGACGCUGAGG
rnacentral:rRNA from 1 species